rnacentral:rRNA from 1 species
GACGAACCGUGCGAACGUUAUUCGGAAUCACUGGGCUUAAAGCGCGUGUAGGCGGGAAGGCACGUCUGUCGCUGGAAUCCCCCGGCUCAACCGGGGAACGGGCGCGGAUACGACCUUCCUGGAGGGGCGUAGGGGGACCUGGAACUUCCGGUGGAGCGGUGAAAUGCGUUGAGAUCGGAAGGAACGCCCGUGGCGAAAGCGAGGUCCUGGACGCCUACUGACGCUGAGACGCGAAAGCCAGGGGAGCGAACGGG